rnacentral:lncRNA from 1 species
CAGUAGUUAAGGGCAAGAUUAGAACUCAGGCCUCCAGCUGCAUCUGACCAAAGGGAUGCUCCCUCGGAUCUGUCCUCUCUGUCCAAUACCACUCUAGGACUGACCGAGGCUCCUGUGUCUAAUGUAUUUGAGGUGGAAACCUCUUUGAGGAAUUUCCUGCUGCCCAGGGCCCUCCGUGGACUUCACCAAGGAUUCUGCAUUAGGAGACUCAACGCAGAUGCUGCGAGGAUAUUUCCCAUGAAUCAGCCAAGAUGCUUGCAAGAAUUACAGACGGACGCCCAGGCUCCGGAGGGCUGAGCUCUUAGAGGGGCUAAUGACCAUGGGGCUGCCCUCCCCAGAAUUCCUCUUUCUCUCUGGACAGACCAUUACCUUCCAAUCUGCUGGUGCCCAUGGCCUGCUCCCUGCACGCGCCUCUCUUCUCUGCUGGCUCCUCUCCCACCCCACUCCCUCCUCCUCUUUCUCCUCUCCUUCCUCCUUUAGCCUUCUGACUUGGAAGGGCAGCUGUGGGGAGCCAGCUGCAACCUCCCCCAACACACACAUCCUAUAUCCAGACUCCAGAACCCAGAGGAAGCAGAUGGGAGGAUGAGAGAGGAGCUCAGGCCAAACAUCCUUCUUCCCCCUUCCCAGAGUUCCCCUCAGCAUCCCUGGUUUACCUCUGCUCUGAACAGGAACCCUCCGCUGCGAGAACCUUACAGGGUGACAGAAAGGACAGGCAGUGCAAGUUCACUCAGUCCUUUCAUGCAACAGGUACUUAUUGAGCAACUACUAGGUAGCAGGUGCCGAGGAGACCAGGGCGAACAAACGCAAUAGUGUUUAUGCUCACGGAGGCACCAACUCACCAGAAGGCCCUCUUUGGAGGCCUUUUGUGCCUUCCUGCCUUGGAUGAUGUGAGCAGUUGUCCUGGGCCCUGCCUGGGAGUCUGGGGGCACAGGCAAGUUCAGCUGUUGCCGUGACCAUAUGCUCUCUGCAGAGCCUUCUCCACCUGCCCAGCCCCUGGGCUCUUCCUGGGGCACUGUCCACCCCCUUCCCUUCUUGCCCCACUUCCCCCUCCCUGACAGUGGCCAUCAGUCUCCCAUGCUGGUGGCCACUGCAUUCCCUGGAAGAGCUUUCACCCAGCUCAGCCCCAGGUCGGGCUGAUUCUGGAGUCUGCAGCUGGGGCCUGGGCUCUGUGUGUUUUAAGGCUCUCCAGGUCUUUCUGCGACACUUCCAGAUAGAGAGCCCCAAAGGAGUAAGGACAAAGGCCGAAGGACAUCUGCCCUGAAGCUGUGAUGUCCAGAGGAGGGGGCCUAAGGGCUUCUGAGAAAGACCGGGGACCUCAGAGCCGGGUUAGAGGAGGCAGGGCCAAUGCAGUGGGUCCAGAGGUGGCUGUUGACACUCACUCAGGGAGACCAGCAAGAAGCAGAGAUUCUGCCUCCUCUUGAGGCCUCACCCAGAGCCCUCUGUUCCUGCAGGCUGAUUCAAGGAGAAAGUGGAGCAGAACAGGCAUGGGGCCUCUCCGGCUUCUUUUUCUGUUCCUCCCCAUCUCUUGGUCUUUCAAGGUACAAUUCAAAUUUCACCUCCUCCAGAGAGCUUCCCUGAUGGCCCAGAUCAAAACCUAGUCACAGGCUUCCACAAGUAUUUCCUUUGGAUUAUAUGCUUGAUGAAUCAAACUUGGAUUGAAAAUGACCUUGAAGUUGGCUGACUCAUUCAUGCAGGCCUUCAGGACGUAUUGUACACAGGUAGACUCAUCUUGAAGUCAGAGGCCCAAGUGCCUGGGGCCACAUACAGUUGCUGGGAGCUCCUGGGAACACGGUGGCUCUCUUAAGCCCCUCUCACCUUCACCCAUUUGCCUGGGUGAUUGCACCUGGAGGAGCCCCUUCCUCAGAAGCUCCAGCCAGAAAACUUGCCACAAGAUCCUGGGCAAACAGCCCUCUGUGUGGAUAUGCAGGGUCCUUCAGGAGCCCAGGCUGGAAAGGACCGAGGGGCCCCUUCCUUCAUGUGUAAUACAAUAAAAACCAAAUUUAAAAGUCAGCCCAAUGAAGAUUCUGGUUUUCCCGACAAUGGCCUUUUCAUUGUUUAAAUAUGACAUUCUACCUUCCCCCCGCCCCACCUCACUUUUUUGAGUGUCCCUCCUCGCUGGUGACCUCAGCAGCACUUGUUACUCUGUGUAUUAGGAAAUCCAGCUUCGGAGUCCACCCUGCUCAGAAUGCCCUUGCUGAUGAGGAGAAGGAACGCUCUCCGGGGCCAGGCCUCUCUGGGGCUGUCCAUGUGUCGGAGUUCUCAGCAGGGCCCAGCUGCUUCUGUCUUUAUGAUGGGCAGAAACCAAAGGCUCCUCACGGGAGCAGACAGCAGCCGCGUGAGCUGCCUGGGAGUGGGAUUAGGGAGGAUUAGUGCAUGCGGUUUGGAGGGGUUCUGGAGUCUUGCAGCCAGCUCUGGAGUUUGAGGUCCAAACAUAACAAGGGAAGGAGGAGGAGACUGAAUGGAAGGGAGCAGGAGAUGGGGGACAAGGGACAGUUGGCUGAUUGAUGCUUGGGGAGUGCAAAGCUCAUUUAUUAAUUACUAAUGUCUAAAAGGUAUUCUCUCUCUCUCUCUCUCUCUCUCUCUCUCUCUGGAUCAAAGCCAGGGCCUUACACAUGCAAAGCAUGUGUGUAUUCUGCCAUUGAACUACACCCCCAGCCCCUAAAGUGUUUUUUCUUUUCUGAUUUUUUUUAUUUGUUCUUUCUAGUCAUACAUGACAGGUAGAUCAUACAUACAUGGAGUAUAACUUCCCAUUCUUGUAGUACAUAAUGUGGAGUUUUACUGGUGGUGUAUCCAUACAUAUGAACUAGGAAAGUGAUGUCCGAUUCAUUCUGUCUUUCCCAUUCCCACCCCCCCUCCCUUCCUCCCACUCUCCCCUGUCCAAUCUGUCAUAUAGUAAAAAAUUUGGUCAAUUUUGAAGUUUAUAGAUGACGAAAUGAGCACCAUUUCGGUGAGUAUCCUUUUAAGCCAUUUUCUAUACACAUAUGUUGCAUGUGUUAUUAUUUAAAAAAAAAAAAAAACUUGGGUCAAGCCAGGUGCCGUGGCAUACACCAGUGAUCCCAGUGUCUCCGGAGGCUGGGACAAAAGGAUCAGGAGGUUCAAAGCCAGCCUUAGAAAUUUAGCAAGGUCCUAAGCAACUCAGUGAGACCCUAUCUCUAAAUAAAAUACAAAAUAGGGCUGGGGAUGUGGCUCGGUGGUUGAGUGUCCCUGAGUUCAAUCCCCAGUACAAAAAAAAAAAAAAAAACUUAAAUGGGACUUAAACAAAAUGGAAUCCUCUGGGGCCCUCCACAAGCCUUCAACUUCCUGUUUCCCAGGUGGGAUGAAGAGGGAAAGACAAGAAAUGGUUUGUGGCCAGCAUUGUGCAAAUGGGGAGUGGGGUGGGGCAAAAGGGGAACCCUGGCAGCGGCUGCUGAGCCUCAAGAUGGCUGUGGGGAGAGCCUGUGACAAAAGGGGAUGAAGGGGCUAUCCAGGGCCAUCCCCACACAGGGAGCCAGGCAGGCGGGAUAAUCCAGGACGCAAGGACCUGAAGCUGAACAGCCUUGGCGCCAAUCCCAGCUCCAGCCCUGCUGGCUGCGCAUUUCUAAGCAGGAUGUGUGACCCCCAUAAGCCUCCCUUGCCCAGCUACUGCAAGUGGGUGAUAGCAGCCAUCUUCCAGCACCUAGGGUAGGGACAAAAUGAGCUGAUUUCUACAGUGUUCACAACAGUGCUGGACUUGAGUGAGUGUCCAAUUGGUAGACCACUCCCACCCCACCCCAACCCCACCCCGCGCAAGCGCACACUCCUACUCCAACAGCUGGGUGUGAAUUCCACAUUUUGUGAACACCUAAGCUCAUUGACUUGUAUAUGCACCUGGGUGGGUGCAUCGGGCAAUGAAAAAAUACUUUAAACAAACAAAAUGGAACUUAAAGGACCCCAGGAGUCAGAUAUAAUGCUGACUUGGAUUAUACUGACCUUGCUGCCCUGUCUCCGCAAGAAUUGGUUCUCUCUCUCUCUCUCUCUCUCUCUCUUUUUUUUUGGUGGGACUGGGGAGUGAACCUAGGGUCCUUCUACCACUGAACUACAUGCCUAGUCCUUUUUAUUUUGAGACAGGAUCUUGCAAAGUUUCUGAGGCUGGCUUGCGAUUCUCCUGCCUCAGCCUCCUGAGUUGCUAGGAUUACAGGUGUGUGCCACCAUAUCCGGCUUCUUUUCUAUUCUUACACAUGUGGGCUCUCUCUCUGGAUUACACUUAAUAUUUGAUCCCAACCUCCUACUGGUUCUAGGCACUUCCCUCAUGGAACCCAAAGGCUGCCACAGUUCUAGCUCUAGACUUCCAUUCUCACACCACAUCAUUCAAGGGACAGGAGAAGGAGUCCUCUGCAGGUUGGGUGGUUCUGUGGCUCUAAUUGUUCAUCUGCUGUUCCCUAGUUCUGUGGUCUUGGUUAUAUGAAGCUUCUUUGUAAAAUUAGGACAUUUGAAUAUCUAAAGAGUCUCAGAUUCUCAGGGUGCAGUGGUGCCCACCUGUAAUCCCAGGAGCUCAGGAGGCUGAGACAGGAGGAUCUCAAGUUCAAGGCCAGCCUUGGCAACUUAGUGAGGCUCUAACAACACAGAGAGACCCUGUCUCUCAAAAAUUUAAAAAUAAAUAAAUAAUAAAAAGGGCAAGGUAUAUAGCCACAGGGUUAAAUCCCUAGUACAAAAAAAAGAAAAAAAAUAUUAUCUUCUGGUCUGUGAUUGAGGCUGAUAUAGCGUCAGGAGAGGCAACUUUAGCAGAAAAUGGCCUCUAGAAAGAGGGAAGGGAAGAUCCUACCUUGCAUGCUGGCAGAACAAACCCAGGUGGGCAGUGUUCAAAGCAGACACGUCUGUAAGAGUCAAUAAACUAGCCAUCAGAGGGCAGCUGAGGCGGAAAUGUGCCUAAGAAUGGAGGAAGAAAAAUGGAAAGAAAUAGGAGAGUCUGGCCUGGAGGAGAACAGGACCCAGGAAGGAGGAAGAAGGAAGAGGAGGGCUGUUGGUCAAGACCUAGACUCCCAUGGGAAAGGGAUGGCCAUGUCAGUGUGGCCCAGGGACAGUGGAGGAGCAGGGAUACAAUGAAUAGGUUAGCAGUUUGGGCACAAAAGACAUACUGUCUUGAAAAAUUGGAAUACACUUAGAUGGCACUUUACCAAAAGGCAAAGAGAUAAAGAAGGCAGUUUAGGGCUGGGCUCCUGUGAGCUGGCCUAGCCUAGGCUGUUCCUCUCCUUGCCUGCCCCUCCCAGCCUUAAAACCAAACUGCUUUUUGUUACUCUCCCUCUGCUACCCACCACCACCAUCACCACCACCACCAUCACCAUCACCACCACCACCAUCACCAUCACCACCACCACCAUCACCAUCACCACCACCACCAUCACCAUCACCACCACCACCAUCACCNAGAGGGUAAUGGACCCAGGAGAUGUUUAGGACACAGGAAAAUGGAAUGUGGAGGUUAGGUUAGAACCUACAGGUUCUGCAUGAAUGGUUCCCUCCUCCUUCCCUGCAGAAGAAAGAGCUGGAAGAAGAAGGUGAAACAACAAGGAUCCUCUGGGAGGAGUUGAGUUUCAGGUGCCUGUGAAACACCAGGCCACUGGCUACAGAGGUCUGGGCCAGUGGGGGGUGGGGGCAGAGUUCUGGACUGGUCGCCAUCUGCAUUUGGAGGUAAUUAGAGGCUAUGUUUGAGGUGAGGGGAUAGGAAAAUGAAAGGUCUGGGCCAUGAGCCAGACAGGGGGAUGGCAGGCACGGAUAGAGGGGACACUGGCAAAGGACAGGAGCGGCAGCAGAGGGAGGAGGACAGGAAGGUGUGGGAGACCAGGUUGGUGAGGGCAGGAAAGCUUCCUAGAGAUUGAACAGAAGGAAGCCCUCGAAGAGUAGAAGGAGAGCAGCUCCGCUCCAUGGUGGUGGUGGUGGUGGUGAUGGUAGUGGUGGUGGUGGUGGUGAUGGUAGUGGUGGUGGUGGUGGUGGUGGUGGUGAUGGUGGUGGUGAUGGUGGUGGUGGUGGUAGUGAUGAUGAUUGGUCUUUCAAGGUACAAUUCAAAUUUCACCUCCUCCAGAGAGCUUCCCUG